CACAUCAGUAGUGGAUAAUACUAUCUUUUUUAGAUAUAUUUUUCAUUAAUAUUUUAUAGAAACCAUAAAGUCCAAAGUGCAGUAUAUCUCAAGAGUUUACUUGGAAAAUGUUUUUAAAGUCGUUAGGCACUUGUGUCUUUUGUCUUUUAUUUUUUUCCAGGUUUAUUCAGUGUGUUAAGACUAGAUAUAAUUUUGUACACAGGGCAACAUUUUUUCAACCCAUAUAGCUGAGUCGAUAACUACAUUUUAUAUCUUUUUCUUUUUUAUUAAAGUUUAAGAAUAAAUACUUUUUUACAAGGCCUAAACAACCUUUCUUUUUCCUACAGUAUCGACUUCGUUUCUGGUUUCUUAGAGCAAAUUGUUUAUUUUUUUUAGCGAGAGAGUCUUUCCUCUGUUUAAGAGGAGAGGUGUUUGCAUGUUAUUCAGAGGAUUUUGUCAUGAAAUCUGAGAGUUUGAGUUUCCGUUGUGCCCUCUUUCGCGGUAAUACAUUU
rnacentral:snoRNA from 1 species